UUUUUUUUUAAUUAGGAGCAGUAUUUUCCGUUCAAUAACGAGGUAUGGCGGUAGAGAUGAACGGCCAAGAUUAGGUGGGUGAACAAUAAAAGGUGGAGAUGUGAGAUUGAAGAAAUCUUUCAGGAAGAAGAUGAAACGCUGGAUUGGUAUUUUACAGUAGGACCAGUGACUUAUUUGGUCAAAUCUUACUGUAGACGAAGACUUCAUAUAUAUCUUUUGGUUUUAGCAACCUCUGUACCUUCCUGUGUGUGUAACACUUGCCGAGUAGCUUCCCAGAUCUGAAAACACGUUCAAGCUUUCGAGCAGAGUCGUGCAUCGUCAAGGCAUAAAUCAAAUUGUGGGUCGUGUUAGACGCAAACCAUACGGAGAACCGAAAACAUCUGCAUGGAAGUUUCUUACUGACCAAAAUUCCUUAUUUUGAAAGCAAUUAUCCGUGGGCCAAAAUCAAUGAAAAAGGAUAAGAGACUGGUUAUCAAAACAAGGCAAGAACUCCAGGGGGUUUCCCCCCUGCAAUGGCGUUGCCCAUAUGCUAACAUGCACAAUGAUCAUGAUAAAUGACGGAACAGACAAGCAUGAGGCAAUACAAUUGCAGAUAGGAAACAGAGCCAUGAAAAACUUGUUCCAGACAGGAGAAAACUCUUGGUGGGAGAGAUUUGGAAACGAUGAAUAUUACUGACAAAAAUCAGAAAUAACAUAACACCCAGCAAAAUAAAGCAAUUAAUAUCCUCAAAAUUUCAAUCUAGAUCAUCCUUGAUAGUAACAGAAACAGACCAAAAUCUAGGAUACAAG